rnacentral:lncRNA from 1 species
AACUAAACAACGUAAGCAAAUUUAUUCACCCCCAAACUUAACUGAAACAUUGUCCUCAAUGUGAAAUAGAAACAAAAUGGGGAGGGAACUUACCAGACGGACAACAUUAAUCGUCGUUCUCGACAUCGUCGUCCUCGGUAUUCAGAAUUGGAUUGGCAGCAUGAUCAGGUAGGAGUGGCGACUGAGGAAAUGCUCGAUCGGAGUAAAUCGAACCCAGGACCGCAUUGAACUCAUGUUGAUAAUGGAAUUGCUCGCACAAAGUAUUUUGCAUCAAAUUCAUUUUCAAUUGUAUGUCAUGAAGCUUAGCGGCAAGGUUGGAAGUGGGGUCACUAUCUGGGGCCGGUCGACAUGAUCGGGGCGGCUGGUCGCUCCGAGGAGGGGGUGGAGCACUGGUGGAUUCAGAACAGCGUAAGAACUUCCAAGUACGUGCUCAUGUGAUUGACGGUUUGGGGUGCACAACCUCCUCAGUCGGGUAUGUGACAACACCACCCGCUAAACAAAGCUCAUAAAUCAAUGAUGGGUGCCCUAGACCACCUGUCAUCGACCCUUUCUAAGUGUGUAAGAUGUUGUAAAUAACUUUACCAACAUCAAUUGAUAGGUGGCACUGAAUAGCAUAAUUAAGGAUAGCUCAUUCUUUUGUUACUUCACUUAAAUUGCUACUGGAAAUAAGUUUGCCAGAAAUGAAGUGAUGCCAAGCCUUACAACCCGAAGUCAUACCAGAAGCAGGAAAGUUAAUUAUAUAUGUCUCUGAACGUUUCCAUGUAGUACCAGUUGUGGCCAAGACUCAAAUGACCUCAUUAGGAUCAACAUCCUCGUCACGAAGUCUAGAGUACUCGUCAUUUUCAAUAUCUUGCAAAUGAUAAAACAUGUUGAUGGAGGUUCUAUCAAACGGUAUCCACUUACCCCGCACAAACACUCGGAAAUCUCAAUGCUCCUUCGCAUUGGCAGUUCCGCCGACCUAUCUGCUCUGUCAUAUAAUUGUAAAAAUCACGUUCAGGGAUACAGGUCUUGUGGACCACCAGGUUAUUAUAUCGUUUAGCGGCCUCAACACUAAUGAAUUUGCUCUUGUCAAAUGAGCUAGAAAAGGAGGCUGCAGCUUUAGAUCUCUUUUUAGGCGGCAUUGGACCUGUGCAAGUGUAGAACAUGCAAACC